GAGGACUUGGACUCUUGGGACAUGGACUCAUUCUCUGUGGAGUGUGGAGGGCACUGGCACUACAAGGUAGGGGACCACUGGGAAGGAGAAGAUGGAGACAUCAAGGAUAACUGGGAUGAUGAUGAUGUGUCGGGCAGGGAAGGAAGGAAGCAGAAGCAAAACCAGAAGUAAAAAUUUCUUCAAUAAAAGACAAAGAACGGCAACAGAAGAAAAGAUAAUAAGAAAUCAAGAAGAAGUUAGAAGAACGUGAAAAACCUAAAGUGCUAACACCAGAAAAAACAGCAGAUAAAUCGCAACUAAAGAAAUCACAGAAGAAGUCAGAUCUCGAAUUAGCAAAAUAAACCUUUGGUGUUAAUAACACAGUUUAUGAAAUAGAUAGCUACGAACCUCUUUAAGAGAUAACUUCAGAGUUUGGAAAGUUACUAAAGACAAAAAUUACACAGUAUGAAAAGUAACUAUAUUACACCAGUUUUUUCAAGCCUCAGUUUGGGAUGAGUGUAUUUCAUCAGAAAUUGAUGACUUGCAGUGAAAAACAGAAGCAAGAAAAGCAAAGCCAAAAAGAAGAAAGGUGUGUUUCCCAGAGGGAGAUUAAAGGCUACCAUGAGAGACAAUCUGUGUGGUGGUUAUGGUGGAGGA
rnacentral:lncRNA from 1 species